rnacentral:rRNA from 1 species
AGGGGAGCGGCAGACGGGAGAGUAACACGUGGGAACGUACCCUUUGGUUCGGAACAACCCAGGGAAACUUGGGCUAAUACCGGAUAAGCCCUUACGGGGAAAGAUUCAUCGCCGAAGGAUCGGCCCGCGUCUGAUUAGCUAGUUGGUGGGGUAAUGGCCCACCAAGGCGACGAUCAGUAGCUGGUCUGAGAGGAUGAUCAGCCUCACUGGGACUGAGACACGGCCCAGACUCCUACGGGAGGCAGCAGUGGGGAAUAUUGGACAAUGGGCGCAAGCCUGAUCCAGCCAUGCCGCGUGCGUGAUGAAGGCCCUAGGGUUGUAAAGCCCUUUCGGCGGGGAAGAUAAUGACGGUACCCGCAGAAGAAGCCCCGGCUAACUUCGUGCCAACAGCCGCGGUAAUACGAAGGGGGCUAGCGUUGCUCGGAAUCACUGGGCGUAAAGCGCACGUAGGCUGAUUGUUAAGUCAGGGGUGAAAUCCUGGAUCUCAACUCCGGAACUGCCUUUGAUACUGG